rnacentral:rRNA from 1 species
GACGAACGCUGGCGGCGUGCCUAAUACAUGCAAGUCGAGCGGGACUCUUCGGAGUCCAGCGGCGGACGGGUGCGUAACACGUGGGCAAACUGCCUGUAAGACUGGGAUAACACCGGGAAACCGGUACUAAUACCGGAUAAUCCUUUCCCUCACAUGAGGGGAAGCUGAAAGACGGUUUCGGCAGUCACUUACAGAUGAGCCCGCGGCGCAUUAGCUAGUUGGUGAGGUAACGGCUCACCAAGGCGACGAUGCGUAGCCGACCUGAGAGGGUGAUCGGCCACACUGGGCCCUAGACACGGCCCAGACCCCUACGGGAGGCAGCAGUAGGCAAUCUUCCGCAAUGGACGACAGUCUGACGGAGCAACGCCGCGUGAGCGAUGAAGGCCUUCGGGUCGUAAAGCUCUGUUGUCAGGGAAGAACAAGUAUCGGAGUAACUGCCGGUACCUUGACGGUACCUGCUCAGAAAGCCACGGCUAACUAUGUGCCAGCAGCCGCGGUAA